rnacentral:tRNA from 1 species
GGGCCCGUAGGGUAGCUUGGUCCAUCCUCCCAGCUCGGGGAGCUGGAUACCGGAGUUCAAAUCUCCGCGGGCCCA